GACGAACGCUGGCGGCGUGCUUAACACAUGCAAGUCGAGCGGUAAGGCCCUUCGGGGUACACGAGCGGCGAACGGGUGAGUAACACGUGGGUGACCUGCCCCCUACUCUGGGAUAAGCCUGGGAAACUGGGUCUAAUACCGGAUAUGACCACAUGUUGCAUGGUGUGUGGUGGAAAGUUUUUUUCGGUGGGGGAUGGGCCCGCGGCCUAUCAGCUUGUUGGUGGGGUGAUGGCCUACCAAGGCGACGACGGGUAGCCGGCCUGAGAGGGCGACCGGCCACACUGGGACUGAGACACGGCCCAGACUCCUACGGGAGGCAGCAGUGGGGAAUAUUGCGCAAUGGGCGGAAGCCUGACGCAGCGACGCCGCGUGGGGGAUGACGGCCUUCGGGUUGUAAACCUCUUUCGGCCCCGACGAAGCGUGAGUGACGGUAGGGGUAGAAGAAGCACCGGCCAACUACGUGCCAGCCGCCGCGGUAACAC
rnacentral:rRNA from 1 species